GUGGUACAUGCCGAUUCGAUUCCGAGCACCGGCCACGCCCGCCUGGCGGCUGCUCGCUACGUUUUGUGAGCC
rnacentral:sRNA from 1 species